CAUGGCCUGGCGGGCAGGUGGCCUUCCUGCCGUUUCUGCGCUGCGGGCGGCGUCCAUUUCGCUUGCAAGCUUCGUUGCGUUCGCACGCCUUUUUCUGGCUCCCGUUGUCUCGCGUUCCGUCGUUGCUCUGGUGCCCUGGACUGCUGUGAAUGUGUUUUUAUGCCCUACUAGUGUUGCCUGGGGGUGCUUUUAUGUGUGCACCCUGGAAGAUUUCUUAGAUUAAAGGUUAGUUCUAUGUUUGUACGAUUCGUGCAACUUUUGUUUGGUAUCAUUCUUAGCGUGUGGGUUCUAUUACUUUAUGCUAGCAGUGUGAUUAUUACCCUUUUGAUUCCUAUUACCCUAUGCUUUAUCUUUCAGCUAAGUGUACUCGUGACCCUACCAGCACUUUUCAAGGUGAAGAUGCAACAUCGUCAGUGGCCCCGUUACUAAUGUCUAAUCUAUGAAUUUCAGAUACUUUCGACGUAUUCAUUGCGGUGAACAACGCGGUUGGGACAGCACACUCGCGACGUGGGAAGGUCACAGAAAUGUUGAAAGACAUCAGAUUGGGCAUACGCUUCACCCGUGCAACUUCGUCAUGUGCUCCACGGCAGCACAAGCCUUUACGGCUGUGCCACUAUGUGUGGAAACGUCGUAGCGGAUGAAUGUGAAUUAUGGAUCUCCAAGUGGCGUCGCCCGCGUCAUUUUAAAGAUUUUACCCGUUUUGAAGGUACGUAGUGAAUGUGCGAGGCAUUCACGUUCCUACUACGUGGUUAUCCAUGCGUUUCCCGUCUUCGCAGGCAAUAGGGCUGUUGAUAGGGAGAAUGCUAGGCUACUGCAGACUGCAACCAUAGGCGCUGUGUCUAAAGGUUAAGCUCACAUGACGCGGCAGGGAAGGGAGUCCGUGGCGCAAAGUGAAUAUAGCCGAAGUUGGA